rnacentral:rRNA from 1 species
CGGGAGGGUGCAAUGCGUUAUUCGGAAUUACUGGGCGUAAAGCGCACGCAGGCGGGCCGGUCAAGUCGGAUGUGAAAUCCCCCGGGCUCAACCUUGGGAACUGCAUUCGAAACUGGCAGGCUAGAGUCUUGUAGAGGGGGGUAGAAUUCCCAGGUGUAGCGGUGAAAUGCGUAGAGAUCUGGAGGAAUACCGGUGGCGAAGGCGGCCCCCUGGACAAAGACUGACGCUCAGGUGCGAAAGCGUGGGGAGCAAACAGGAUUAGAUACCCUGGUAGUCCACGCCGUAAACGAUGUCGAUUUGGAGGUUGUGCCCUUGAGGCGUGGCUUCCGGAGCUAACGCGUUAAAUCGACCGCCUGGGGAGUACGGCCGCAAGGUUAAAACUCAAAUGAAUUGACGGGGGCCCGCACAAGCGGUGGAGCAUGUGGUUUAAUUCGAUGCAACGCGAAGAACCUUACCUGGUCUUGACAUCCACAGAACUUUCCAGAGAUGGAUUGGUGCCUUCGGGAACUGUGAGACAGGUGCUGCAUGGCUGUCGUCAGCUCGUGUUGUGAAAUGUUGGGUUAAGUCCCGCAACGAGCGCAACCCUUAUCCUUUGUUGCCAGCGGUUCGGCCGGGAACUCAAAGGAGACUGCCAGUGAUAAACUGGAGGAAGGUGGGGAUGACGUCAAGUCAUCAUGGCCCUUACGACCAGGGCUACACACGUGCUACAAUGGCGCAUACAAAGAGAAGCGACCUCGCGAGAGCAAGCGGACCUCAUAAAGUGCGUCGUAGUCCGGAUUGGAGUCUGCAACUCGACUCCAUGAAGUCGGAAUCGCUAGUAAUCGUAGAUCAGAAUGCUACGGUGAAUACGUUCCCGGGCCUUGUACACACCGCCCGUCACACCAUGGGAGUGGGUUGCAAAAGAAGUAGGUAGCUUAACCUUCGGGAGGGCGCUUACCACUUUGGAUUCAGGGGG